AUGCCUAGAAUUUAGUAAUAAUCAUGGUCCGCCAUCUUGGAUUAUACCUAAAAAUAAGUUAUUUUGGAUCCCUGACUUUUCCAGAAAAUACCUGAAUUUUAGGUUUUUAUGUCUAGAAUUUAGUAAUAAUCAUGGUCCGCCAUCUUGGAUUAUACCUAAAAAUAAGUCAUUUUGGAUCCCUGACUUUUCCAGAAAAUACCUGAAUUUUAGGUUUUUAUGCCUAGAAUUUAGUAAUAAUCAUGGUCCGCCAUCUUGAAUUAUACCUAAUUAUAAGUAAUUUUGGAUCCCAAACUUUUCCAGAAAAUGCCUAAAAUUUAGGUAUAUUGGUUCUUCAAUUAUACCUAUAAUUUAGGAAUUCUCGUACUAAAACGCGACUAGUAAUUUUAUUACUAAUAGCCGAUUAGUAAUAAAAUACCUUAUUGCAGUCAGGUUCGAUUAUACCUAAAAAUUAGGAAUUUAUACCUAGUGUCCGUUUUGCGUGUACUCUUCUCUAAAACUAACAAAUGAACACGCUACCAUUCGAUCUCAAUUUUUGAGAAAAACGUCGCAAAAACGAGAUCGAUUCUGCCAACUCAAUUUUUGCGAUCAGUUUCUUUUGUUUACAUUCGCAAUUUUGAGUUGGCAAGAGCGAACUCAGCGUUGAGAUGACUGUUAGCGGUUUUCAAUCAGUCUUCUGCAGUUUGUCAGUGGUCGCUGUCAAGAUCAAACCACGUGGAAGUUUGGUCCCUUGUUUAUCCCGCCCGUGUGGAUCAAUCGGACCGCGCACUGGACUCACAUUCCAGAGGUCGCCGGUUCGAAUCCCGCGGCGGGCGCUCUAAAAAUUCUUUGUGUAAAUAUGGGUAUUCGGCGCCGUCGCUCCGUGCCAUACUUUCAUACACUUAGGAGCCCAGGGCGGCGAAGUCCUUGUAGAUAAAAAAAGGAAGACACUAGUGGUUGGUACUAGCAAUGGUGGCCGACAGCUAUAAAGUCAACUUCGUUUUUUUUUUUAUAAGAGAAAUUUGUGAAAUUGCGUGAAUUAGUAGUAUGAAAAUUUGUACAGCUUGUACCCCGGCAGCGGUUUGUCCGCGUCCCAGCCAGUCCGUGUUUCGGCAACUCGUCCGCGUUCCAGAAGGUGGGAAGUUCAUCCUCCCGGUAGUGGUUAGUAUGCGUCCCAGCAGCGGCCCGCGUUUCGGCAACUAGACCACGAUCCGGAGGGUCGUUCUUCCGGCAGUAGUUUGUGCGCGUCCCAGCAGCGGCCCCAUUCCGGAGGGUCGUCCUCUCGGCAGCUGUCCGCGUUCCGGCAAUUCGACCUUGUUCCUUAGGGUCCGCUUUGUUCUCUCGGCUGUAGAUUUGUCAGUAACUUCAUAUUUAUUUCAUGUAAAAUGGUAAAAAUGCUUCAAAUAAAGAGAAAACUUUUCGA